rnacentral:tRNA from 1 species
UAGAUUGAAGCCCGCUGGAUUGGGNUNUAAUAUGUUAACUAAAGGUUAUGGGAUCGAGGCCCGUCAAUCUAG